rnacentral:rRNA from 1 species
GACGAACCGUGCGAACGUUAUUCGGAAUCACUGGGCUUAAAGCGCGUGUAGGCGGGACGGCACGUCGGCCGCUGAAAUCCCCCGGCUCAACCGGGGAAGUGGCGCCGAUACGACCGGCCUGGAGGAACGUAGGGGGAGCUGGAACUUCCGGUGGAGCGGUGAAAUGCGUUGAGAUCGGAAGGAACGCCCGUGGCGAAAGCGAGCUCCUGGACGUUUUCUGACGCUGAGACGCGAAAGCCAGGGGAGCGAACGGG